CCGUGAUGCAAGUCGCCUCUGGAGGGGCAGAUCCGGGGGACCUUCAGUCACAAGAAGACCCACCUUCCUGCCCUCCUACCCACCCGCCCCUGCUCAUGCUCCGGCUUCCGCUCCGGGGCCGUCCUGACUCCGACUGCUCACCGCCCUUCUCCCGGCGCCGCUCCCCGACGCGGUUAGCUAGAAUGAGAGGUUUAUUGGGCUUCAGCACAGGCUUCCGCGGGUUCCCAAACCGCGCCAGACGACCCCGCAGGCUGGGUGUCGCCAUAGCGCACCAAGCUCCCGGCAGGCUUUGCGGUUCCGUGCGUGACCUCGCGUGACCCCUACGGGCUGGACGAAUCGGCGCGGAGCUCGGGGAAGGCUCGUUGGCUUGCUGGCAGCCACCUCUUUCUUUUACUUGGCCGGGGCUGCGGCGACGCUGGGUUCGAACAGCGGCGGGUUCAUACUUGUCAGCAGAUUAGGAGGAGACUCUGGGUUCGUACGCCGACUGAGGCUUCUCCUUGAUGGGCUCCGGGCCCCGAAGUCUGGGGGCAGUACGGGGCCGGGGACAUGCAGGAAAGGGCCCUGGACCACUACAAAGCCGCAAAGAAAAAUUAGACUUGUUUCAUUUUAUAACAACAACAACUGCUACUACUGCUACUAGUUAGAUACCGUUUGCUCAUUUAUAACAAUCUCAGUUGGUAGGAUGAAGCUUAAACACUUGGCAUUCAUCGUCUUUUUCAGUCCUCUCGCCAGUCUUACAGACUUGGACCUUCAGUUGUGAUGCUUAAUCAGAAUUUUUUUUGAGAUAGGGUCUCUCUUGGUUGCCCAGACUGGAGUGCAAGUGGCACGUUCAUAGCUCACUGCAGCUUUAAACUCCUGAACUCAAACGAUCCUCCCGCCUCUGCCUCCUGAGUAGCUGAGAACACAGGUGCAAGACACCACGCCCAGCUAAUUAUUUUUUGUAGAGACGGGGUUUUGUCAUGUUGCCCGGGCUGGUCUCGAACUCCUGGGUUCAAGCGAUCUUCCUGCCUCGCCCUCCCAAAGUGCUUUACAUGACUGAGCCUCCGCGCCCAGCCAGACUUGUUUCUCAAGUGACUUCUUCUGGCCAUUUUCACAACUCAUUCCAAAGAUGUGCAGCAUAUUCUCAAAGCAUUUCCAAAUAAGCUCCAAGAAAUGUUUUUGGUAAUGGAAGCAGAAAACAAGCCUGUAGCUCAUGACUACUUUGGAGGAAGAACAUUUGGAUUUGUAAAUUUAGUGUGUUAAAAAAAUCACUUAUCACAGAUGUUUGGAAUCUUCCCACUGAUUUCUGCAUGGCUGCUUAUUUUUCUUCCCUUAAGUCUCAGUUCAUGUCACAGAGGGCUUCCCUGACCUCUCACACCUCACCACCAUCAACCUGUUUUCUCCAUAGCACCUAUCACAGUCUGAAUUGUCUUAUUAUGGCCUUACCUAUCCCUAACACCCAUUUAAAAAUGUAAGCAUGAAAGAAGGAACGUUGUCUAUCUUGUUCAUUGCUGAAUCCCCAGUGCCUAGAAUAGUACCAAUAAAUACUUGUUAAAUGAGCAAAUGUUUUAUUUAUUUAUUUAUUUUUGGAUUUGGGGUCUUGUUCUGUCACCCAGGUUGGAGUGCAGUGGAAUAUUAGCUCACUGCAGCCUUGGCCUCACUCCAGUGAUCCUCCUGCCUCAGCUGCUGGAGUAGCUGCGACCACAGGCUCACACCACCAAACCCGGCUGGCUUGGUUUUAUUUUUUGUAGAGAUGGGGUCUCAGUAUGUUGCGCAGACUACUCUUGAACUCCUGGGCUCACGUGAGCUUCCCUCCUUGGCCUCCCAAAGUGCAGGGAUUACAGGCAUGAGCCACCACACCCAACCUGAAACUUUUUUACAAAUCUCCAACUUUAUUACACCCACCCCCAAAAAAAUAAUGAAGCAGAAGACAUUGUUUAACAAGAAGCAGUUUAUUACACAAAACGAAACCUGAGAUAAUAGAAAAUAACACUUGCAGUAAUAAAGGAAGCAGCCUUGCACUCCACCUCCACACUCCAGAGUAUAAUUAAAAGACUCCUAUCAGACAUUUCUAUCACCAAUAAUGCCAACCUCUGUAUACAGCAGCAGGCUGGGCCCCAAAUCAGAAGAUUCAUGUUGCUUGCUUUCUCUAUAGGGAAAGUGAAGCUUUCGGUAAGUAUCAUGUGGCUAUUCCUGGUUCUACUUUCCCUUGUGGAAAUGUAAUACCUGGUUUACACUGCUCUUUUGUGAGUACGUAUAUGGUGAUAGGAAUAAAGGAGAAAGUCUGGAAAGCACCAAGCACAAAGCAGGCCUGAGGCUCCAGCAACAGUCAUUCAGAAACAACUGCCCACUUUAUACGUAAAAGUAUGAAAGGAAUGCCAAUGUGAGCCCAUGUCAUUAGGAGAGGUAAGGAUAAUCUACACCUUGCUUAACCAUCACUUAACCUUUUUAUUGCACAUAAUGAAAUUUAAGCCCUAACCUAGGUCUGUACUUGUGUAAUAAUUAUGCACUCUAAAUUAGCAUCUGCAUUUAGAUAGAUUGCAAGCUUAGAAAUCAGUCCUGCAUUUGACCUCUUUUGUCAGUGCCUACUAUAUCAAAUUUUAACAGAUUUUUUUUUUUUUUUUGAAAUGGAGUUUUGCUCUUGUUGUCCAGGCUGGAGUGCAAUGGCGUGAUCUUGGUUCACCACCACCUCCGCCUCCUGGGUUCAAGCGAUUCUUCUGCCUCAGCCUCCUGAGUAGCUGGGAUUAUAGUCAUGCGCCACCACGCCCAGCUAAUUUUGUAUUUUUAGUAGAGAUGAGGUUUCUCCAUGUUGGUCAGGCUGGUCUUGAACUCCCGACUUCAGGUGGUCUGCCUGCCUUGGCCUCCCAGAGUGCUGGGAUUACAGGCGUGAGCCAGCUCACCCAGCCCAACAGAUUUUUUUUUUUUUUUUAGACAGAGGUCUCACUGUGUUGCCCAGUUGGCACUCAUAGGCGCACUCACAGCAUACUACAGCCUCAAACUCUUGGGCUCAAGCGAUCUUCCUGCCUUAGCCUUCUGAGUAGCUGGGACUGCAGACCCAUGCCAUCACAUCUGGCUUAGAUAUAUUUUUGAAGGUUUUUUUUUUUUUUUUUUUUAGUUUCUGGAGUGCAGUGGCGAUCCUCCCACUUCAGCCUCCCAAGUAGCUGGAUCUACA
rnacentral:lncRNA from 1 species